GCUGUGUGACACUGUCCUCUACUCAAAGGUGUACAAACCUGGAGGGCAGCAGGGACACAUGUUCAGUUGGUAUGAUACAGUACAGCUGCACCAUGACAUUGCUUGGGUGGAUGCUGAAAAAUCUGGAGGAAUUCCCUGGGGAAAUGUGGAGUUGGGAAAAAAAUAAUAAUAUGCCUGCUUCACCUACUGUUCCACUUUGUGCCUAACAAUGAGAACAAAGUGACUUAUUUUUCAGAAAUGCCUUGGACCAGCUGUGACUGAACAGCACAAGAGCUGUUUCAUGUUCCCAAUACUGCCCAAAAUGUUCAAGGCAUUUUCCAGGUGGAAGGAAGUUAGAGCUAAAGAGACACAGAAGAGAGAGGAAGGAUAUUCAAGGCAGCAGGAGUACUGAAAAGCUCCUUGCUUCUCCUGCUCUGUGGCAGAAGAUACUAAAUUAAGAUUUGUAGAAGGCUUUGACAUGAGUAAUUAUAUGUCUGACUUCUCAAAUUUUAUGCCGGCAAAAAACACCCUCUGAACUCGUGUGUUGGGACCCAGCUUGUAAGCGUCUUGCUUUAUCCCACUCCAGCAUCAUCACCACCUCUUGUUUGAGAUGUGGAUUUUCAUCCUGUCCUUGCUGGUUAAGACCAGUGAAUCAUUUCAGGUAGAAGUUAAGGUAAAAUAUUUCUUGGUGUAUGUCUUUUUGUGCUACCUGUCUUCAGGUAAGUGGCUUCCUAUUGCUGUUGAACGUUCUAGGAUAGCAAGUUUCUGCAGGUGACCUUCUCCAGGACUUCUCACCCUUACCAACCUCUUUUCCAUCUACACCCAAGGGGCUGACCCACAACCGAAGCACCGAGGGGCCAAGCCUCCCAAGAUCAUCAUCUUCCCAACCACUCUGUGUGGUGAAGUCUUGGCAUCAUACAUGGAGCAGCAGUUUACAAGAGCCCCUAUGACUGACCAGAGAUCUCCCCCACCCUGCUGUCACAUCGCUGCCUACGACGCGGCCGACUGAUGGCUGGCUCAGUGCCGCACUGCUGAUUCGGCGGGUGCCCUCCCAAUACCGUCCGUACAGCGACGACGGUGAACGCGUAAUGCCCACGACAAGUAUUCAGCCAAAGGGAGCACGAACCGAUGCGCUCGCUGUUUAAUAUGCAAUGAAAAUGAGUCUCAGCUAAACUCGCUGCACACAUCCAUUACGUGAGAGAAGCGUCAAUAUUUCUGUAAAUCCACCAGGGAAUUUAUUCGUCUCAGCCUCCAGCAACGGUGAAUUACCCUGGUGACUGGUGCAAUUUGGAAGCAUGUACAGCCAUAAUGAGAAAGUACCGUGGUUUCCUUUAAAGUAAUAUAGUGGUUAUUGCUGAUAGUUACUGCCUUUGUGAAGUAUUAACGCGUGGUUAUAGCGCAGUCAUGAAGCAAAAUUAUAGGGGCCUGCAGAAUGUUACUUAGCAACACUUGCUAAUGUUGGGGUGGUAAUGAAGAAAUGGAGCAAAAGAAAUACAGAGUAUAUUGGAGUCAUAAAAUAAACUGUGGUGUGACUUGAGAAAGUUGUUCUGAAGAUGAAGAUGAUGUCUAUUUCUUUUUGCCAUGUGAAUAAGGUAGGAGAACUUAAGAGCUGAUUUGAAGCAACACGUUUGAAAUAUCUAAGUAACAGAAACAAGAAUUAUGGGUUUGGUGUUGGUUUGUUUUUUUUUUUUUUUUAUCGUUGCUGCUGCCUGGGAAAAGCAUCAGAAUUGCUGGCCUUUUGAAGAUCCUCUCCCUGUCAUUUCAAACCCAUCCUGAGACACUAGCUGGCCAAUUAAAAUAGGAAACCAGCAUUUGUCAGAGUUAAUGAAGGCUUCUUUCUACUACAUCUAUUUUCCCCAUUCAUUCAUUACGUAACUCCCUCCACUGUUAAUCAAGUGCCUGUAGGCAUAUCUCAAGAAAAGGGUAAGGCCAUAAAAAUAAAGGCAGACAUUUCUAGUAAUACAUGAACCUUCUACAUGUUGCAGAUCUGUCUCAGACACUUAUCUUAGUUUAUCUCCACCUGUUUAAAUUGGAAAACUCACAAAAAUCCAUCUCCUGUGAGAUUUCCAAGGUUUCUUGAUUUCAUUUGGGUCAGAACUUCCACAAGAGAUGCAUUUCUCAGAGCACUUCUGAGCUGCUGCCAGGAACAGGGAGUGCUGGAGUGUGCCACUUAAAAAAAAAAAAAAAAGGUUUUCUUUGAAAAGUCAGCAGAUUUUAUAAGCUUAAAAAAAAUUAGCCUAGUUCAGUCUCAGAUAUGAUUAAAAGAGCUGCCCUGAUUUAGGGGUGUCAAACAAAGUAUGUUUGAGUAGAGCAUCAUUUUGUAAUGGAAAAAGUGUUAGUGGAAGAACUGCCUAUCGGCACUGCUUGGACUGGAUGAGGACUGAGACUUAAAUUAUAAGAGUCUUUAAUACUGGAGAAAAGGAAGACUGCUAAACGUGUUGUAACUAGAAGGCCAUCUCUUGGUCUCCCGGCUAAAGGUAGCUGUGAAGACAACCUCAACAACAUCUGGAGUUCUGCUGAUUAAAUAAUAGAUAUUUGCCUGCUUUGCACCUCACCCUGGCCCUGCAAAGCGAACAGGAAGAAGUUUCUCAUUCCUAUGCCACCAGGAGUGCUGAGCCAUGAACAUGGAGUGAUGGUCUGGGGAAUGUUUCAUGGGAGAAACUUUCUGUAUACAUGAAUUUAAUAAAAACAUAAUAUUCUCUAGUUGGUAAUAUA